rnacentral:lncRNA from 1 species
UUUAUAAUAAGGUAUGUAUAUAUAAAUAGUUAUAAUAGUAAUAAUAAUAGGACAAAUAUAUUUAAAUUUAAAUAAGUAAAAAAAAUAAAAAUAUAACAAUAAUAGUACAAGGCUAAUGGUAUAAUAUAAUAGUAAUAACAAGAUUAAAAUAGUUAGUUUAACAGUAAAAUAACUAAAACAAAAAAAAGGAUUAAAUUGAAAAUAAACAAAAUUUUAAGGGGGAAAUCAAAAAUGAAAAAAAAGGAGGGAUUGAUUUGAAUGCGCGAAUAACAUAGAGGGACUGGAAGAGAAAAUUUCCCUUCUCCUCCAAAACGCACAACUUCAUCGAGGACCGAAUCGAGAGAAAAAUGAAAUUUUAUGGCAAAAUUGAAAAAUAAAAACAAAAU